GAGAGUUUGAUUAUGGCUCAGGAUGAACGCUGACAGAAUGCUUAACACAUGCAAGUCUUUGGCGAAGCUGCGCUUGCGCAGACAAGCCAAGGCGGACGGGUGAGUAACGCGUAAGGAACUUGCCCUGCAGACAGGGAUAACAGACGGAAACGACUGACAAGACCUGAUACAGUUGCCGGUACGCAUGUGCCUGGCGAUGAAAGGAGACGCUGCAGGAGAGCCUUGCGUCCUAUUAGCUUGUUGGCGGGGUAAUGGCCCACCAAGGCGAUGAUAGGUAGCCGGCCUGAGAGGGUGAACGGCCACAAGGGGACUGAGAUACGGCCCUUACUCCUACGGGAGGCAGCAGUGGGGAAUAUUGGACAAUGGGGGCAACCCUGAUCCAGCAAUUCUGUGUGCACGAAGAAGGUUUUCGGAUUGUAAAGUGCUUUCAGCAGGGAAGAAGAAAGUGACGGUACCUGCAGAAGAAGCGACGGCUAAAUACGUGCCAGCAGCCGCGGUAAUACGUAUGUCGCAAGCGUUAUCCGGAAUUAUUGGGCAUAAAGGGCAUCUAGGCGGCCCUGUAAGUCUAGGGUGAAAACCUGCGGCUCAACCGCAGGCCUGCCCCGGAAACUACAGGGCUAGAGUAUCGGAGAGGUGGACGGAACUGCACGAGUAGAGGUGAAAUUCGUAGAUAUGUGCAGGAAUGCCGAUGAUGAAGAUAGUUCACUGGACGGUAACUGACGCUGAAGUGCGAAAGCUAGGGGAGCAAACAGGAUUAGAUACCCUGGUAGUCCUAGCUGUAAACGAUGAUUACUGGGUGUGGGCAUGAAGAGUGUCCGUGCCGAAGCAAAUGCGAUAAGUAAUCCGCCUGGGGAGUACGGCCACAAGGCUGAAACUCAAAGGAAUUGACGGGACCCGCACAAGCGGUGGAGCAUGUGGUUUAAUUCGACGCAACGCGAGGAACCUUACCAGAUCUGACAUCCUGCGAAUGCCCGUGAGAGCGGGCAGUGCUUCGGAACGCAAAAAAGGUGGUGCAUGCUGUCGACAGCUCGUGUCUGAGAUGUGGGUUAGUCCGCACGAGCGCACCCCUAUCGUUAGUGCAUCAUAGUUGGACUCUAGCGGACUGCCUGCCAGAGCAGAGGAGGUGGGGAUGACUCAAGUCUCAUGCCUUAUGAUCUGGGCUACCACGGUCUACAUGGGCGUUACUCAGAAGAGCAGCUCCAGGCUGGCGACACUCUGCGUCAGU
rnacentral:rRNA from 1 species